UUGAUGUCCUCUACCAUCAUCAUGAGAUAUGCUUUUAAAUCUAGGUCUAGGUUCUCAGGUGUGUUGGGGUUCCCUGGACUGGGCGAAGUGGGUGUGCUGGGUUCUGGUGAUGGUGAGUGGUCUUGGUUCCUGUUAGUAAGAUUCCUCCGUUUACCUUUCGCCAUCUGGUAAUCUCUGGAGUUAGUAGUUAUAGUUGACUCUGUUUAGAGAUUGUUCUUCUGGUGAUUCUGUUACCGUCUAUCAGCAGACCUGGGAGACAGAUUCUCUCCUCUGAGUUUCAGUGCUCAGAGCACUCUCUGCUGGCAAGCUCUCUUACAGGGAAGGUGCGCAGAUAUCUUGUAUUUGGACCUCCUCCUGGCCGAAGAAGAAGGCCCAAAACAGGACCUUUCUCAGACAGUGUGUUGCUUUGGCAGUUCCCAGGUGGUACAGACUCUCACCUAAGCAGACUAAAUUCCUAAGUUCCUUGGAGUCCCGGGACCAAGAUGGCGACCGCUGCUGCUGUGGCCCAGGCCGCCUCCCCAGCCGGGCGGGCACCCGUCCUCCGGUCCGGAAGGUGGCCGGCUGUCCCCGGCCCACACAGGGUGCUGCCUCAGCGCCUCUGUGCUUCUGCCCGUCCCAGAAGCUGUCAGGUUCUCUGGCGCACCCUCUCACCUGUUCAGACUAAUUUCCUAAGUUCGGCGGGUCCCGGACCAAGAUGGCGACCGCUGCUGCUGUGGCUUAGGCCGCCUCCCCAGCCGGGCGGGCACCCGUCCUCCGGUCCGGAAGGUGGCCGGCUGUCCCCGGCCCACACAGGGUGCUGCCUCAGCCCCUCUGUGCUUCUGCCUGUUCCAGAGGCUGUCAGGUUCUCUGGCGCACCCUCUCACCUGUUCAGACUAAUUUCCUAAGUUCGGCGGGUCUCGGACCAAGAUGGCGACCGCUGCCCAGAUCUUCUCUUUAGCAUGACUUAGUACCAGACACUCUGCACUGUCAGGACUUUGUUUUCAUAUUGGCUUAUCUUUCUUUUAGUGAUACAGGUUUCUUGGCUGUAGCAGUGUACAUGGCUAUGAUAACCUUAAACUCACAUUCCUAAUACUUUGUGAUAAAAACAAAACAGAUCUUGUUUAUUGUCUAUUGAAAGUAUACAUGAGAAGAAACUUACCUUACCUGUCCUGUAUCAUGUGGCUUUUCUUGCAUCCUUGCUAUGUAUCAGAUCAGUUGUUAAUGACGUUCCAGUGUUGUCACAGCCAUGUUUCUAAGUAGCAUGACACAUGAUACCAUAAAAUGAAAGGACAGCAUAAGCAUGGCCCAGAAAUAUAAUUUUUGAGCUAUUAUCAUUUGUUUUUUACUAAUAUUUCAAAUGAUUAGGCAUAGCAUAGUUAAAAAUGAGCAUAUUACAUAUAAACAACUAAAAUAGGUAUGUUACACUUAAAUCAGAUUGGAGACUUAAACAAGUGCCCUAAAAUAGAGCCAUAUCCCGCCCAAGGGCCCUACAACAGAGCCAUGUCUCCAGCCCAUAUUUGUGUGUGUGUGUGUGUGUUUUGUUUUCCUGAAAAGGGGCUCUUGCUAUGUAGCUCAUCAUGGGCUGGGUCUUGUGGUCUUCCAAUCUUGACUGUAGACUUCCUAGUGCUGGAACACAGGCUUUGAAACUCUGCCUUACUAUUUUGAUUUUUAGCUUACAGUUUAUAUUCAACCAAGGGAAAGGAAUUAGGACGUAUGUUUGUUGUGUUUAAUUCUGAGUUGCUCAGCUCUGGUUUGUACAAUUUAUUUCACAGCUUUAUCUAUUACAUUGUAAAAUUUCUCCCAGAAAUCCAUUAACUUGCUAUUAUAAAAAUGAUUUGAACUGUAAUGUCAGUUAGCUAUGAAGUUCUUUGAGGACACAUUGUGGUGUUAAUAUAAGUACAUUGCAAGUGUCUCAAAUAUGGAAUUCUUGGGAACGUUACUCUAGUUUUUAUAUGAAUUGGCAAGAACUCAGCAAAAAUUCAAAAUUUUUAAUGCAGUCUUCUCACUCCCUUUUAGCAGUCAGAAUGAGAUUAUAGUUUCCAGAUGAAAUUCCGUAUGUCACAUAGUGAUGACAUAUAUUUUCCUGGUUGGCUCAGCAUGAGAUGCGAUUUUGCAUGCCAUGUCACGCUGACUAGCAGAAUCCAAAAGCCAUUAUUUCCCAAGGGCCUUUAGAGUGAUAGCAUCGGAUGUUGUUUAUUUUAUGAUGAAAAGUCUCAAGCACUAUAAGCAGCUAGUCAGAUGCUUCUUAAAGCUGAAAAUACUAUCUAUCCAUUAUACAUUAAAAGCAAUUGAAAAGGUUACUUUCUCCUUCAGUUAUUUAAAUGUGUAUUCCCAAGUGAAGUCACC
rnacentral:lncRNA from 1 species